rnacentral:rRNA from 1 species
AUUGAACGCUGGCGGCAGGCCUAACACAUGCAAGUCGAGCGGCAGCGGGAAAGUAGCUUGCUACUUUUGCCGGCGAGCGGCGGACGGGUGAGUAAUGCCUGGGAAAUUGCCCAGUCGAGGGGGAUAACAGUUGGAAACGACUGCUACUACCGCAUACGCCCUACGGGGGAAAGCAGGGGAGAUCCGGGCCUUGCGCGCUUGGAAAUGCCCAGGUGGGAUUAGCUAGUUGGUGAGGUAAUGGCUCACCAAGGCGUCGAUCCCUAGCUGGGCUGAGAGGAUGAGCAGCCACACUGGAACUGAGACACGGUCCAGACUCCUACGGGAGGCAGCAGUGGGGAAUAUUGCACAAGGGGGGAAACCCUGAUGCAGCCAUGCCGCGUGUGUGAAGAAGGCCUUCGGGUUGUAAAGCACUUUCAGCGAGGAGGAAAGGUUGAUGCCUAAUACGUAUCAACUGUGACGUUACUCGCAGAAGAAGCACCGGCUAACUCCGUGCCAGCCGCCGCCGUAAAAC